rnacentral:rRNA from 1 species
AACGCGAAGAACCUUACCUGGGCUCGAACGGCUUUGGCAACUCCGUGGAAACAUGGGGCCUCCCGCAAGGGACCGGAGUCGAGGUGCUGCAUGGCUGUCGUCAGCUCGUGUCGUGAGAUGUUGGGUUAAGUCCCGCAACGAGCGCAACCCUUGUCCUGUUUUGGCAUGUGUCACGAAAGUGGCGCGCAACUAUCAGGAGACCGCCAGCGAUAAGUUGGAGGAAGGUGGGGAUGACGUCAAGUCAUCAUGGCCUUUAUGUCCAGGGCUACACACGUGCUACAAUGGGCGGUACAAAGCGCCGCGAACCCGCGAGGGGGAGCUAAUCGCAAAAAACCGUCCUCAGUUCGGAUCGCAGGCUGCAACCCGCCUGCGUGAAGCUGGAAUCGCUAGUAAUGGCAUAUCAGAACGAUGCCGUGAAUACGUUCCCGGGCCUUGUA